rnacentral:rRNA from 1 species
UACGGGAGGCAGCAGUGGGGAAUAUUGCACAAUGGGCGAAGCCUGAUGCAGCUAUGCCGCGUGUAUGAAGAAGGCCUUAGGGUUGUAAAGUACUUUCAUCGGGGAGGAAAAAACAAAACUAAUAAUUUUAUUUCUUGACGUUACCCGAAAAAGAAGCACCGGCUAACUCCGUGCCAGCAGCCGCGGUAAUACGGAGGGUGCUAGCGUUAAUCAGAAUUACUGGGCGUAAAGAGCACGUAGGUGGUUUUUUUAAGUCAGAUGUGAAAUCCCUGGGCUUAACCUGGAACUGCAUUUUGAAACUGAAAUACUAGAGUAUCGUAGAGGGAGGUAGAAUUCUAGGUGUAGCGGUGAAAUGCGUAGAUAUCUGGAGGAAUACCUGUGCGAAAGCGGCUCCUAAACGAAUACUGACACUGAGGUGCGAAAGCGUGGGGAGCAAAACAGGGAUUUAGAUACC